UGAUAAUAAGAAAUAUUUGAGCAGCAAAUCUGAAGGAUUUCUGAAGGAUUUCUGUGACACUGAAGACUGGAGUAAUGAUCCUGGAAAUAAAAUUUUGUCAUCACAAAUAAAUUACAUUUUAAAAUAUUGAAAUACAAAACAAAUAUUUAAAAUUGUAAUAAUAUUUUACAAUAUUACAGUUUUUAAAUAUAUUUUUGAUCAAAUAAAUGCUGGCUUGGUGAGUUUAAGAAAAAAUUGUACCCACCAAACACCUGAAUACAGUGUAUACCUGAUAAAAAAUAGACUCCCAACAUUUAGCUUACAGAAAUCAAUAAAAAGCAACAAAAUUCCAAUUAAAGCUGAAAAGUGUAACUUUAACACCACACAGAUGUAAUGUUUUUUGGUUCAAAACAAGUUUCAACCAUAUUCUUAUUAGUAUAAAUAGCAGUUCAUCUUAAAGUCAGUACAAUAUGUUUAAGCAUCAACUUCACCUAAAAAAAAAAAAAAAAAAAAAAAGAUUUAAAAAAAAAAAAUAUCUAUUUAUUGUUCAGAUGAAGUAUGGCACUCAUCAAUGGGCAAAGAAAUCCAAGCACGCACUCAGAAAACAUAGCCUACGUGCAGCAGUGGUAGGCAUGACCGGGUUUAUUUUCAGGAAAUCAUUAAUACAAAGUAGCCUUAUUAAUUUCAGUUAUGUUAUUUUCAGCAAUAGUCUCUCUGUGUGACCACACUGGAGCUGCAUUGGAAGAAGACAAAGCCAAAGAUCCUCACUCUUAUUUUGGUGGCAAGAAAGUUAAGAGAAGACAGCGAUGAACACAUCAGACAAGGAAUGGUUGAGAAUCCCCCCUUGAGUAAGUGAGUUUAGAUGUGAGAUAAGGGGGCUGGGUGGUGAGAAAGAUAUAAAGUGAGAAAGAAGGGAGGAACGUGAAACACAGAGAGAGAGAGAGAGAGAGACAGAGAGAGAGACAGACAGACAGAGAGAGAGACUUGCAGUCAAGAACUCAUCAUAAAUUGGAAAGGUUGCACUCAGAGGUGAGAGACUAAGAAACUGCAGAAAAUAAUUUAUAUAUACAAUGCCGCACAUGUGCAGAAUUUCAAUGAGCCGUUCACACAGCGACUCCUUAAACUUCUGACUCUUAGAAAACUCAUCUGAUCUCACUUACUGCCUCCACCGCAAACGCAGACAAUGAUAAACCCCCUGACAUCAACUGAAGACAAUGAAAAGCAGAAGCAUUUCUUACUUGACUAAAAAUGCCUCCCUUAUGAGUUUAGCAUGAUGCAAAAAUUUAAAGAGGAGAAAAGCAACUGAAAGCAGUGCACACAUACAUCAAACUACUGUGGUUUAGCAGUAUAAGCUCUGAUACAUUGUGUUGUGUUGCUCAUUUGGGCUUUGUGGGUUCGAGUCUGGCUUGCAACACUUACUAUUUUCCUUCCAUGCCCUACUCUCUGUCAAUCCUGUCCUAUUUCUCACUUUCUAUAAAGCUAAAAAUAACACAGCAGCACCCAACAGACAGCAAAACGUGCAUUUGACAUUAAUGUUGUGAUGUGACUCAAUUAUUUCUAAACCCAGAAAACAUUCUACAUGCUGCAAACAUGCACUGAGCAUGCUUACAUCUCAAGACCAACAGCGCAUGCAUGCGAUCUUAAGGACCAAAUGGGCAAGACACUGAGCUCACACUUGCCCCCAGACACAAAAGUGACUCAACGACAUGAGAAUAAAACAAACAGACUGCUACUGCA
ensembl:lncRNA